CAUGCAAGUCGAGCGGCACAGGAAUUAGCUUGCUCUCGCCUGACGAGCGGCGGACGGGUGAGUAAUGUCUGGGAAACUGCCUGAUGGAGGGGGAUAACCACUGGAAACGGUGGCUAAUACCGCAUAACGUCGCAAGACCAAAGUGGGGGACCUUCGGGCCUCAUGCCAUCAGAUGUGCCCAGAUGGGAUUAGCUUGUAGGUGGGGUAACGGCUCACCUAGGCGACGAUCCCUAGCUGGUCUGAGAGGAUGACCAGCCACACUGGAACUGAGACACGGUCCAGACUCCUACGGGAGGCAGCAGUGGGGAAUAUUGCACAAUGGGCGCAAGCCUGAUGCAGCCAUGCCGCGUGUAUGAAGAAGGCCUUCGGGUUGUAAAGUACUUUCAGUGGGGAGGAAGGCGUGAUGUUUAAUACGCAUCGCGAUUGACGUUACCCACAGAAGAAGCACCGGCUAACUCCGUGCCAGCAGCCGCGGUAAUACGGAGGGUGCAAGCGUUAAUCGGAAUUACUGGGCGUAAAGCGCACGCAGGCGGUCUGUUAAGUCAGAUGUGAAAUCCCCGGGCUCAACCCGGGAACUGCAUUUGAAACUGGCAGGCUUGAGUCUCGUAGAGGGGGGUAGAAUUCCAGGUGUAGCGGUGAAAUGCGUAGAGAUCUGGAGGAAUACCGGUGGCGAAGGCGGCCCCCUGGACGAAGACUGACGCUCAGGUGCGAAAGCGUGGGGAGCAAACAGGAUUAGAUACCCU
rnacentral:rRNA from 1 species